UUGACCAUAUCAUGGCAAAACAUUGGUUCUCAUAUGAUCACUGAAGUUAAGCAACAUUGAACCUGACCAGUACCUUGAUAUGUGACCAUUUGGGAAUAACAGGUGC